rnacentral:lncRNA from 1 species
UACAGCAUCUAUCUCUCUUAGUUGCUCAGGGCCUUACUAAAUUGCUGAGACUGGUCUCGAACUUGUGAUCCUCUGCUUCCGCCUCCCAAACUGCUGGGACUACAGCCAUGCACCACCAUGCCCAGCUCUUUGAAAAUCUUAAUGCUGUCUCCAUUUUACACAUGCAAGCCAUCAAUAAUACUUCUGAUGAGGCUACCUUCAAAAUGUGUCUAAGGGGCUAGGGUGAAGCUGUAACUCAUGGUAGAGCCCUUGCCUAGCAAGUGCAAGAUCCUGAGUUCCAUCCCCAACAUUGCAAAGAAAAAAAGAGUGUGUGUGUGUGUCUGUGUCUAACUGCUUCUCACCACCCUGAGUACAACCUCCUACUGGUCACUCUGCUUCUACCUUUGUCCUGUUCCUAUCUGUUCUCAAAAGGCAGCUGCAGGGAGCCUGUUGAAACCUAGGUCAGCUCAGUCCCUCCUCUCUCAAAAUUCACCAAUGGCUCCCAAGUGAGCCCAGGCCCCACAAAGAGCCCCAUGAUAUGGCCUCUCACUCCCCAGACCCCUCUCCCACUUUUCUCCCUCUCAUGCUAUGCCCCAGGCACACUGGCUGUGAGGUUCCCCAGGCACAUCUGGAAUGCAGUUGCCUCGGGGACUUUGCACUUACUGCUCUUGCACAGGAAUGCUCCGUCCCCUAGGAAUCCCACGUGGUUCCGUCCCUCCCUGCUUCAAGUCUUGGCCCAAAGUUCACUUUUCAGCGAGAUCUUUCCUACCUUCAAUAAAACUAACCCUCCCUGUCACUCUGCAUCCCCACUUCCCUUUUCUCCUUCCUGCUUUCUUUUCCUCCAUAGCACCUUUGACCUCACCCACUGUAAAAUUUGUUCACCUCUCACUUAUUGCAUAUCCCCUCCCACUCUAUGAAGGCAGGCCGGGGUUUGUGCCUGUUUUGCUCACCAGUACAUCUCCAGAGCUGCUGUAAAGCCUGACAUAUAGUAGGCACAUGAUAGAAAUGUACUGGAUACUUAAUGAAAAUCACUCGUCUGGACAGUCCUCAAAUGUGAGGUAGUCAGCUCUCAGCUUCACUCGCCAGCCUCCUGGCCACCAGAGUAGUGGUUAGAUUCGAAGACAGCCCACAAAAACCUGAGCCCCCAAUAUACCUGGUGACCUUGCCCCACAGGAAUCUCCAUUGCUACCAUGAAACCAGGGAGCAUUUUCAGGAGCAGUAACAGAAGCUUCCUGGGAGAGAGGAUUUCAGUGCUAUGAGGACAGGCAGUCUGUCAGUGCAUUUCCCAGGGACUGGGCCUGGCCUCCUGGCACACAACAUUCCUGCCUCCUCCUGACAACCUUGCUUCACCUCCACUGCUAGCUGCCUCUUUCAUAGGCUUCCAACCUCCCAGGCUCCAUCACCCCAGUCUCUCCCCUAAGCAGACAUAGUGCCCUCUGGUUUCCCCAGGGGCCACUGACCCUAAAGCUUAGGAGACAGGAAUCUGGCCUUGUCUGCCCCAAAGGUGAGCCUUUGGAGUUGCAGUGAGGGGAGGGAGAAUCCCAGCAAGUCUAAAGAGGGAAGAACAGAAGAGGGAAGGAAGAGCUAAGUGGAGAGGCUGGAGGGAUCAUCAUGAAUUGUUGCUAGAAGGCUUGUCUGUAUGCUGGUGGUGACCACUGAAUACUGUGGAACCUUUGAAGAUGUUUAUUUGAGUUUUGUUGUUGUUGUUUUUACCAGGGAUUGAACCCAGGGGCACUGCUUAACCGCUGAGCCUCAUCCCCAGCCCUUUAAUUUUUAUUUAGAGACAGGGACUUGCUGAGUUGCUUAUGGCCUCACUAAUUUGCUAAGGCUGACUUUGAACUUGUGAUCCUGCUUGCCUUAGCCUCCCUAGACGCUGGGAUGACAGGCAUACACUAGGAUAAGUCUCCCAGCUUAUUUGAGCCUUUGAUGAUGUUUAUUUGCAGGAAUAACUCUCCACUUGGUACCUGGAGAAAGAUUCCUGGUCCCUCUUUUUACUUACAGGGUACUUCUGGCCUAGAGCAGGGUAAAUAAACCACAGUCUAACCCCAAAUCACUUUAGUAUUGAAGAACCAAACCUUCCAAAGAUGUAAGAUAUGAAUAUUAGUAUGAAAUGAGGUUGAGAUGAUUUUUGACUGCAGAAUCCAGAAUCUCAAAUAUUGUCUUUAACUACCCACUUUGCAGCAAAGGUCUUCAAUGGCAAUACAUGCAUAGAAGAUACUGGCUGCAGAAAGUUCUUCAUCAACCUGAGCCUAUUUCCUUGUGAGCUAGACUCCAUGCGUAAACAAUUAUUUGUUCAGGUCAUGCAGUCUCUGAAGACUGACCAAAACCACCCAGAAAUGGCAACAUCUCAACAGCUGGUAUGUGCACCCCAGGCUUGAAAGCCCCAUCUAUGUCAAGGCUAGGACUUCUAGAGGCCUGGUUCUUGUGCCCCACAUUUGUCUUUUCAGAUGCAUGAAAGCAAAACACUUGAGAUGAACCUCUCCUCACAAAGCCCCACCUCUGCUCCGGAAGCACUAGACUUUGCAUAUGGUUAGAUAUGGGUUGGUUGGUUUUCAAUAGAUUUUCAAGACCGCAGAAUCCAGCACAUUGAUCAGCCUAUAUAUUCAUAUUAAACAAAGGAAAUAAAAGAACAAAAUUCAUGCAAUCAGAGGUAGCUGAGAAUCAUCAACAAAUGGUUUUUUUCAUUAACAUUUUUGAGUAGGUUAAUUUUUCCAUACAACUUAAUGAUAUAAUUUCCUAAUACAAUCC